CAGUAGCCACGGUAAUACAGAGGGUGCAAGCGUUAAUCGGAAUUACUGGGCGUAAAGCGCGCGUAGGUGGUUCGCCAAGUUGGAUGUGAAAUCCCCGGGCUCAACCUGGGAACUGCAUCCAAAACUGGCGAGCUAGAGUAUGGUAGAGGGUGGUGGAAUUUCCUGUGUAGCGGUGAAAUGCGUAGAUAUAGGAAGGAACAUCAGUGGCGAAGGCGACCACCUGGACUGAUACUGACACUGAGGUGCGAAAGCGUGGGGAGCAAACAGGAUUAGAUACCCCUGUAGUCCCUGUCUCUUAUAC
rnacentral:rRNA from 1 species